rnacentral:lncRNA from 1 species
CGGGCAGAAACUUCCUGACAGAAGAUCCUGGCUUCAUAGAAAUUUUUUGCUGAUAUUGAUAGCAGACUUGCAGAGCAGGAACUUGUGCACUCAGGUAUCACCUACUACGUGCUAAUUAGAGCAUCUCCAAUAGGGUGUUGUAUACUUGUAUAAAAGAUCGACGACCAUUGACAAAUCAUCACAUAUAUGACCUUCACUUAAUUCAGUAGCACUUCUAUUAGUAUAUUUAGCAGAAAUAGUUAGAACAGUUGACUCUCGGCUCUUGUUCCAUUUAGUGUAAACAGAAACCAGAAAACAUAAUUACACUUUCUUAGCCUCAUCGUUCAGAAUAAGAACAACCACCAGAACUAAAAAGUGCUUAAAAUUAAUUUGCAUCAGUCUGUCGCUAAAGAUUAUCCUGUAAGUAGAUAUGAAACAGAUAAUUGAAAUCAAACUCAGGUUAUAACAGGACUGGCUGAGAUUUGAUGGAGUGUGUCUCUGCAAAGCCCUUGCAAGGUGAUCCAGCCAAGAUUUUUUCAGAAUUUAUUUGCCAGUAGCAGUUGUCUGAUGUCGAAAAUAAUGGACAAGAUAUAUUUUGAAAUCAUUUCAAUUACUUAAAAGCACAUCCCUAAAUGAAUACCUUGCAGAAUUACAUAUUUAUCUACCAUAUUAAGAGUGGACAGAAAGAGGGGACCAAAAAAGGAAGAGAAAAAGAUAGAUGGCAAAAUCCCCACUUAAUCUGAUCAUUUAGUGCAGGUCCACUUGAAUUAUAUUGAACUAACCAUCAAACAAUGCUGGAUGGAUACUCCAGUGGUAAUACUAGUUAUAGGAUCAUUUUUUUACAAGUCCGUUGUUUCUGCCAAAAUUAUGGACGACACAGUUACAGCCUUACAGGACACAAAAUUAGGAGUCCAGAAUCGCAACAUUUCUUCUAUAAAUUCUAAAAGAGCACAAAAUUAGAAGCAUGCAUACUCAAGCCAGCCUACUUACAGAUUCACAUUAGCAUAGCAUAACGCAUGCUGUCACUAACCAUGAGAUGAUUCAUCUCAGAUACGCGUGCCAAUUCUCCAGACACCACAACUCCAUCAGCAUUAUUGAUGUGCGGAUGAAGCAGAGAUGACAGCAGUGACAGAGG